GAUCUUCGGACCUCGUGCUAUUAGAUGAGUCUGCGUCGGAUUAGCUUGUUGGUGAGGUAAUGGCUCACCAAGGCGACGAUCCGUAGCUGGUCUGAGAGGAUGAUCAGCCACACCGGGACUGAGACACCGGCCCGGACUCCUACGGGAGGCAGCAGUGGGGAAUCGUUGGACAAGUGGGGGCCAACCCUGAUCCAGCCAUGCCGCGUGUGUGAAGAAGGCCGUUCGGGUUGUAAAGCACUUUCAGUGGGGAAGAAAAGCUUGAGGUUAAUACCCUCGGGUCUUGACGGUACCUACAGAAGAAGCACCGGCUAACUCCGUG
rnacentral:rRNA from 1 species